rnacentral:rRNA from 1 species
UACUUAGGGUGCGAGCGUUAAUCGGAAUUACUGGGCGUAAAGCGUGCGCAGGCGGUUCGUUGUGUCGGUGGUGAAAUCCCCGGGCUUAACCUGGGAAUGGCCAUGGAAACUGGCGAACUGGAGUGCGGCAGAGGGGGGUGGAAUUCCGCGUGUAGCAGUGAAAUGCGUAGAGAUGCGGAGGAACACCGAUGGCGGAGGCAGCCCCCUGGGCUAGCACUGACGCUCAGGCACGAAAGCGUGGGGAGCAAACAGG